AAUCUUCCGCAAUGGACGCAAGUCUGACGGAGCGACGCCGCGUGGGGGAUGAAGGCCUUCGGGUUGUAAACCUCUGUCCUCAGGGACGAAGAGGGUGUAGUGAUACACCGAGGACGGUACCUGAGGAGGAAGCCCCGGCUCACUACGUGCCAGCAGCCGCGGUAAUACGUAGGGGGCGUGCGUUGUCCGGAAUUACUGGGAGGAAAGGGCGCGUAGGCGGUAAUUGAAGGUAGGCGUGAAAGACCUUGGCUCAACUGAGGAGUGGCGUAUAAAACUGGAUUACUUGGGUGCAGGAGAGGAAAGAGGAAUUCCCGGUGUAGCGGUGAAAUGCGUAGAUAGCGGGAGGAACACCAGUGGCGAAGGCGGCUUUCUGGCCUGUAACUGACGCUGAUGCGCGAAAGCUGGGGGAGCAAAC
rnacentral:rRNA from 1 species